rnacentral:lncRNA from 1 species
UACUAGCCCUUUAUGCACCUGGCCGGAUCUUCGACGCUGGUGAGGAAGGAGUUUUACCAUGACCAAGUCUCCUUCCUCGAACUCCAAGUGACUCCUCUUAACAUCGGCCCAUUUCUUCAUUUUCUGCGCUGCCUUUGCUAAGUAGGCUUUUUCCAAGUCUGCCUUUUCGUGCCAGCCUUUGGCAAACUUGUAUGCUGACGGAUUGGGCCCUUUGUAACCUAUGGCCAAAGUUUGUGGUGUCAUCGGUUGUUGUCCCGUUGCUAACUCAAAUGGACUUGCCCCUGUUGACUCGCUCUUCUGCAGAUUAUAAGAAAAUUGGGCAAUGUCCAAU